GAUGAACGCUGGCGGCGUGCCUAAUACAUGCAAGUCGAGCGAACGGACGAGAAGCUUGCUUCUCUGAUGUUAGCGGCGGACGGGUGAGUAACACGUGGAUAACCUACCUAUAAGACUGGGAUAACUUCGGGAAACCGGAGCUAAUACCGGAUGAUAUUUUGAACCGCAUGGUUCAAAAGUGAAAGACGGUCUUGCUGUCACUUAUAGAUGGAUCCGCGCUGCAUUAGCUAGUUGGUAAGGUAACGGCUUACCAAGGCAACGAUGCAUAGCCGACCUGAGAGGGUGAUCGGCCACACUGGAACUGAGACACGGUCCAGACUCCUACGGGAGGCAGCAGUAGGGAAUCUUCCGCAAUGGGCGAAAGCCUGACGGAGCAACGCCGCGUGAGUGAUGAAGGUCUUCGGAUCGUAAAACUCUGUUAUUAGGGAAGAACAUAUGUGUAAGUAACUGUGCACAUCUUGACGGUACCUAAUCAGAAAGCCACGGCUAACUACGUGCCAGCAGCCGCGGUAAUACGUAGGUGGCAAGCGUUAUCCGGAAUUAUUGGGCGUAAAGCGCGCGUAGGCGGUUUUUUAGUCUGAUGUGAAAGCCCACGGCUCAACCCGUGGAGGGUCAUUGGAAACUGGAAAACUUGAGUGCAGAAGAGGAAAGUGGAAUUCCAUGUGUAGCGGUGAAAUGCGCAGAGAUAUGGAGGAACACCAGUGGCGAAGGCGACUUUCUGGUCUGUAACUGACGCUGAUGUGCGAAAGCGUGGGGAUCAAACAGGAUUAGAUACCCUGGUAGUCCACGCCGUAAACGAUGAGUGCUAAGUGUUAGGGGGUUUCCGCCCCUUAGUGCUGCAGCUAACGCAUUAAGCACUCCGCCUGGGGAGUACGACCGCAAGGUUGAAACUCAAAGGAAUUGACGGGGACCCGCACAAGCGGUGGAGCAUGUGGUUUAAUUCGAAGCAACGCGAAGAACCUUACCAAAUCUUGACAUCCUUUGACAACUCUAGAGAUAGAGCCUUCCCCUUCGGGGGACAAAGUGACAGGUGGUGCAUGGUUGUCGUCAGCUCGUGUCGUGAGAUGUUGGGUUAAGUCCCGCAACGAGCGCAACCCUUAAGCUUAGUUGCCAUCAUUAAGUUGGGCACUCUAAGUUGACUGCCGGUGACAAACCGGAGGAAGGUGGGGAUGACGUCAAAUCAUCAUGCCCCUUAUGAUUUGGGCUACACACGUGCUACAAUGGACAAUACAAAGGGCAGCGAAACCGCGAGGUCAAGCAAAUCCCAUAAAGUUGUUCUCAGUUCGGAUUGUAGUCUGCAACUCGACUACAUGAAGCUGGAAUCGCUAGUAAUCGUAGAUCAGCAUGCUACGGUGAAUACGUUCCCGGGUCU
rnacentral:rRNA from 1 species